ACGCAAUAGAUACCCAGGUAGUCCACGCCCUAAACGAUGUCUACUAGUUGUCGGGUCUUAAUUGACUUGGUAAACGCAGCUAAACGCGUGAAGUAGACCGCCUGGGGAGUACGGUCGCAAGAUUAAAACUCAAAGGAAUUGACGGGGACCCGCACAAGCGGUGGAUGAUGUGGAUUAAAUUCGAUGCAACGCGAAAAACCUUACCUACCCUUGACAUGGAUGGAAUCCUUGAGAGAUUGAGGAGUGCCCGAAAGGGAACCAUUACACAGGUGCUGCAUGGCUGUCGUCAGCUCGUGUCGUGAGAUGUUGGGUUAAGUCCCGCAACGAGCGCAACCCUUGUCAUUAGUUGCUACGAAAGGGCACUCUAAUGAGACUGCCGGUGACAAACCGGAGGAAGGUGGGGAUGACGUCAAGUCCUCAUGGCCCUUAUGGGUAGGGCUUCACACGUCAUACAAUGGUACAUACAGAGGGCCGCCAACCCGCGAGGGGAGCUAAUCCCAGAAAGUGUAUCGUAGUCCGGAUUGUAGUCUGCAACUCG
rnacentral:rRNA from 1 species